rnacentral:tRNA from 1 species
GGAACUGUGGUUCAGGGACAGAGCAUCUGCUUGGCAUUCAGAAGAUCCCAGGUUCAAUCCCUAACAUCUCCA